rnacentral:rRNA from 1 species
CCUACGGGUGGCAGCAGUCGAGAAUCAUUCACAAUGGGGGAAACCCUGAUGGUGCGACGCCGCGUGGGGGAAUGAAGGUCUUCGGAUUGUAAACCCCUUUUAGGUGGGAGUAAAUUAAAACUCUAGUACCACAUGAUGUAGGUACCGCUAACUCUGUGCCAGCAGCCGUGGUAGUAAACAGGGCACAUGCUUCGUUCGGAAUCAGUGGGCGUAAAGGGUGCGUAGGCUGGUUAGUAAGUCGUCUGUGAAAGGCGCGGGCUCAACCGGCGCACGGAACAUGAUACUGCGGGACUAGAGUAAUGACGGGGGAGCCGGAAUUCAUGGUGUAGCAGUGAAAUGCGUAGAUAUCGAGAGGAACACUCGGGGCGAAGGCGAGUGCCUGGACAUUAACUGACGCUGAGGCACGAAGGCCAGGGGAGCGAAAGGGAUUAGAUACCCUUGUAGUC